rnacentral:rRNA from 1 species
UACGUAGGGUGCGAGCGUUAAUCGGAAUUACUGGGCGUAAAGCGUGCGCAGGCGGUUUUGCAAGCCAGAGGUGAAAUCCCCGGGCUUAACCUGGGAAUGGCCUUUGUGACUGCACGGCUAGAGUGUGUCAGAGGGGGGUAGAAUUCCACGUGUAGCAGUGAAAUGCGUAGAGAUGUGGAGGAAUACCGAUGGCGAAGGCAGCCCCCUGGGAUAACACUGACGCUCAUGCACGAAAGCGUGGGGAGCAAACAGG